rnacentral:rRNA from 1 species
CGAGCGGCGAACGGGUGAGUAACACGUGGGUGAUCUGCCUUGCACUUCGGGAUAAGCCUGGGAAACUGGGUCUAAUACCGGAUAUGACCCCGGAAUGCAUGUUCUGGGGUGGAAAGAUUUAUCGGUGCGAGAUGGGCCCGCGGCCUAUCAGCUUGUUGGUGAGGUAACGGCUCACCAAGGCGACGACGGGUAGCCGACCUGAGAGGGUGACCGGCCACACUGGGACUGAGACACGGCCCAGACUCCUACGGGAGGCAGCAGUGGGGAAUAUUGCACAAUGGGCGCAAGCCUGAUGCAGCGACGCCGCGUGCGGGAUGACGGCCUUCGGGUUGUAAACCGCUUUUGACAGGGACGAAGCGCAAGUGACUGUACCUGUAGAAUAAGGACCGGCCAACUACGUGCCAGCAGCCGCGGUAAUACGUAGGGUCCGAGCGUUGUCCGGAAUUACUGGGCGUAAAGAGCUUGUAGGCGGUUCGUCGCGUCGUUUGUGAAAACUUGGGGCUCAACCUUAAGCUUGCAGGCGAUACGGGCGGACUAGAGUACUUCAGGGGAGACUGGAAUUCCUGGUGUAGCGGUGAAAUGCGCAGAUAUCAGGAGGAACACCGGUGGCGAAGGCGGGUCUCUGGGAAGUAACUGACGCUGAGAAGCGAAAGCAUGGGUAGCAAACAGGAUUAGAUACCCUGGUAGUCCAUGCCGUAAACGGUGGGUACUAGGUGUGGGGCUCCUUCCACGGACUCCGUGCCGUAGCUAACGCAUUAAGUACCCCGCCUGGGGAGUACGGCCGCAAGGCUAAAACUCAAAGAAAUUGACGGGGGCCCGCACAAGCGGCGGAGCAUGUGGAUUAAUUCGAUGCAACGCGAAGAACCUUACCUGGGUUUGACAUACACCGGAAACCUGCAGAGAUGUAGGCCCCCUUGUGGUCGGUGUACAGGUGGUGCAUGGCUGUCGUCAGCUCGUGUCGUGAGAUGUUGGGUUAAGUCCCGCAACGAGCGCAACCCUUAUCUUAUGUUGCCAGCGCGUAAUGGCGGGGACUCGUGAGAGACUGCCGGGGUCAACUCGGAGGAAGGUGGGGACGACGUCAAGUCAUCAUGCCCCUUAUGUCCAGGGCUUCACACAUGCUACAAUGGCCGGUACAGAGGGCUGCGAUACCGCGAGGUGGAGCGAAUCCCUUAAAGCCGGUCUCAGUUCGGAUCGGGGUCUGCAACUCGACCCCGUGAAGUUGGAGUCGCUAGUAAUCGCAGAUCAGCAACGCUGCGGUGAAUACGUUCCCGGGCCUUGUACACACCGCCCGUCACGUCAUGAAAGUCGGUAACACC